CCAAAUGAAGAGCUAACUUUGUAUCAACAUUGUCUCUCAAAACUUCAUCAAAUGGAGUCAACUCAUUUAACAUUUGGAGCUGCCUCUCAAGAUCCUUUCUAGGCAUGGAUCUUUCAUGUUUAACUUGUGAAAACCACUUAUCCAACCCCUUCUCAACCUUACAAAGGCUGCGUUCUUCAUUGCUUAACAGACGGACUUUUCCUUGAAAAAGUGAUUUUCUUUGAAAAGCAAUGAAGAACGACCUUCGUUUCGAAGCAAAUUCUCAGAAGCUGAGAAGUGCUUUUGGGCAGACGGAGAAGUGAAAAUUUUUAGCUUUUCAGCCAAGAAGUGCUUUUGGCUGGUUCAUUUACUUUUUUAGCCACAAACGAACGCCCUUAUCUCUGCUCUCUGCUGCUUCUUUGCCCUCAUCUCUGCCUUCUGCUGAUUCUUUGUUCUGCCCUUUGCUGGUUCUGCCCUCUACCGUUUCACCAGUACCAGGUUGUUGGGAAGGCUCUUCCAACGGAGAACGAUGAGCACCCUAAGAUUUACAGGAUGAAGCUCUGGGCCAUCAAUGAGGUUCGGGCCAAAUCCAAGUUCUGGUACUUCUUGAGAAAGCUGAAGAAGGUUAAGAAGAGCAAUGGGCAAGUCCUUGCCAUCAAUGAGGUUAUUGCAAUUCCUGAGUAUAACCAUGCCAUAGGGUAUGCCUAUCAAUAGCAGAUUACAAUACACAGAAGCUUCCCAGAAACAAUUUGUGAAUGGGCAGAGGUGAGGGUUAUUGCAACUGUUAUGGCUCUUCCAAGUCCUGAAAUGUUAGGAAGGUUGCUUUUGCUCCUUAAUUCGAUUGGUGAGGUCACUGAGACAUCCAGUUUAAAACGGGCCAAAAAGAAGUCUAGUUGUAAUGUGGGAUCAUUGGUUGUGAAAAAUUAGUGUUUGAUCUUUUAGAACUUUGUUUUUCCCUUUUUUGUGCUUGUUUGAUUCAAAUACAUCUAUUGAAUACUUGUGCUAAAUGCUCCAUAGGUUACUGAAAUAAUGCCCCUUGAGUUGAGAUUGAAAUUUGGAAUUGGUUUCUGUGGACGGGUUCAUAUAACAGAGGUAAAUGACAAUAAUGUUCUUGAAAAGCCGUUUGGGAACUUCAAAGUUGGGCAGACAAUCACUGCAAGGAUUGUCGGAAAGCCUAAUCAGAAGGGACUGAAAUUUGUUCAACAUCUGAGUGGACUGAAAUUUGCUCUUCUGAUUCUCUUGUACUUUUUUACAUCAUGGUAUGUACUAGUUUUAUUACGAUAGGUCUCAUUCUGUUUAAAGAUUUUAGCUGAACCUUUAAAUGAAAUGCAAUACACGCUAAACUGUUCAAUUGAAA